rnacentral:rRNA from 1 species
GUAGGGAAUAUUGCGCAAUGGACGAAAGUCUGACGCAGCGACGCCGCGUGAGUGAUGAAGGCCUUAGGGUCGUAAAGCUCUGUUGAAUGGGAAGAAAAAAAUGACGGUACCAUUCGAGGAAGGACCGGCUAACUUCGUGCCAGCAGCCGCGGUAAUACGAGGGGUCCUAGCGUUGUUCGGAAUCAUUGGGCGUAAAGGGUGUGUAGGUGGCCAUGUAAGUCAGGUGUGAAAGCACCGGGCUCAACCCGGGAAGUGCACUUGAUACUGCGUGGCUUGAGUACCGAAGAGGGUAGUGGAAUUCCAGGUGUAGUGGUGAAAUACGUAGAUAUCUGGAGGAACACCGGUGGCGAAGGCGGCUACCUGGUCGAGUACUGACACUGAGACACGAAAGCAUGGGGAUCAAACAGGAUUAGAAACCCCAGUAGUCC